GAACUUUCCAGAGAUGGAUUGGUGCCUUCGGGAACUGUGAGACAGGUGCUGCAUGGCUGUCGUCAGCUCGUGUUGUGAAAUGUUGGGUUAAGUCCCGCAACGAGCGCAACCCUUAUCCUUUGUUGCCAGCGGUUAGGCCGGGAACUCAAAGGAGACUGCCAGUGAUAAACUGGAGGAAGGUGGGGAUGACGUCAAGUCAUCAUGGCCCUUACGACCAGGGCUACACACGUGCUACAAUGGCGCAUACAAAGAGAAGCGACCUCGCGAGAGCAAGCGGACCUCAUAAAGUGCGUCGUAGUCCGGAUUGGAGUCUGCAACUCGACUCCAUGAAGUCGGAAUCGCUAGUAAUCGUGGAUCAGAAUGCCACGGUGAAUACGUUCCCGGGCCUUGUACACACCGCCCGUCACACCAUGGGAGUGGGUUGCAAAAGAAGUAGGUAGCUUAACCUUCGGGAGGGCGCUUACCACUUUGUGAUUCAUGACUGGGGUGAAGUCGUAACAAGGUAACCGUAGGGGAACCUGC
rnacentral:rRNA from 6 species